rnacentral:rRNA from 1 species
AUUGAACGCUAGCGGGAUGCUUUACACAUGCAAGUCGAACGAGUGGCGGACGGGUGAGUAAUAUAUCGGAACGUGCCCAGUAGCGGGGGAUAACUACUCGAAAGAGUGGCUAAUACCGCCUACUAUUGGAGCGGCCGAUAUCGGAUUAGCUAGUUGGUGGGGUAAAGGCUCACCAAGGCAACUAUCCGUAGCUGGUUUGAGAGGACGACCAGCCACACUGGUACUUAGAAAAGGCCCAGACUCCUACGGGAGGCAGCAGUGGGGAAGUUUGGACAAUGGGGGAAACCCUGAUCCCGCCAUCCCGCGUGUAUGAGAAGGCCUUCGGGUUGUAAAGUACUUUUGGCAGAGAAGCGGUAUCUGAAGAAUAAGCACCGGCUAACUACGUGCCAGCAGCCGCGGUAAUAC